rnacentral:rRNA from 1 species
UCCGCGCCGUAUUAGCUAGUUGGUAAGGUAACGGCUUACCAAGGCAACGAUCAGUAGCUGACCUGAGAGGGUGAUCGGCCACACUGGAACUGAGACACGGUCCAGACUCCUACGGGAGGCAGCAGUAGGGAAUUUUCCGCAAUGGGCGAAAGCCUGAUGGAGCAACGCCGCGUGAGUGAUGAAGGUCUUCGGAUCGUAAAACUCUGUUAUCAGGGAAGAACGAACAUGUAAGUAACUGUGCACGUCUUGACGGUACCUGAUCAGAAAGCCACGGCUAACUACGUGCCAGCAGCCGCGGUAAUACGUAGGUGGCAAGCGUUAUCCGGAAUUAUUGGGCGUAAAGCGCGCGUAGGCGGUUUUUUAAGUCUGAUGUGAAAUGCCCACGGCUCAACCCGUGGAAGGGUCAUUGGAAACCUGGA